UGCCUGGCGGCCAUAGCGCCGUGGAACCACCUGAUCCCAUGCCGAACUCAGAAGUGAAACGCGGUAGCGCCGAUGGUAGUGUGGCAUUCGCCAUGCGAGAGUAGGACACUGCCAGGCA
rnacentral:rRNA from 4 species